rnacentral:rRNA from 1 species
GGGCGAAAGCCUGACGCAGCGACGCCGCGUGAAGGAUGAAGGUCUUCGGAUUGUAAACUUCUGUUAAGUGGGAAGAAAGCUCUAGUCCUAAUACGGCUAGAGAAUGACGGUACCAUUAGAGAAAGCACCGGCUAACCUCGUGCCAGCAGCCGCGGUAAUACGAGGGGUGCAAGCGUUAUUCGGAAUGAUUGGGCGUAAAGGGUGCGUAGGCGGUCUGCUAAGUCAAUUGUUUAAUCUCCCGGCCUAACCGGGAAUCAGCAGUAGAUACUGGCGAACUAGAGGGUGGAAGAGAGAAGUGGAAUUCUCGGAGUAGCGGUAAAAUGCGUAGAUCUCGAGAGGAACACCGAUGGCGAAGGCAGCUUCUUGGUCCACAUCUGACGCUGAAGCACGAAAGCGUGGGGAGCAAACAGGAUUAGAUACCCUGGUAGUCCACGCCCUAAACGAUGAUCACUAGACGUCAGCUUCAAUCGCGAAGUUGGUGUCGUAGCUAACGCGUUAAGUGAUCCGCCUGGGGAUUA